rnacentral:rRNA from 1 species
AUUGAACGCUGGCGGCAGGCCUAACACAUGCAAGUCGAGCGGAUGACAGGAGCUUGCUCCUUGAUUCAGCGGCGGACGGGUGAGUAAUGCCUAGGAAUCUGCCUGGUAGUGGGGGACAACGUUUCGAAAGGAACGCUAGUACCGCAUACGUCCUACGGGAGAAAGCAGGGGACCUUCGGGCCUUGCGCUAUCAGAUGAGCCUAGGUCGGAUUAGCUAGUAGGUGAGGUAAUGGCUCACCUAGGCGACGAUCCGUAACUGGUCUGAGAGGAUGAUCAGUCACACUGGAACUGAGACACGGUCCAGACUCCUACGGGAGGCAGCAGUGGGAAUAUUGGACAAUGGGCGAAAGCCUGAUCCAGCCAUGCCGCGUGUGUGAAGAAGGUCUUCGGAUUGUAAAGCACUUUAAGUUGGGAGGAAGGGCAGUAAGUUAAUACCUUGCUGUUUUGACGUUACCGACAGAAUAAGCACCGGCUAACUCUGUGCCAGCAGCCGCAGUAAUAC